GAACCCGCGCCGGGUUUGAUUCCGCACGCGGCGGCCUACGAGGCGCGGGAAACGACUCGCGACGUCCUUCCAGAGCUCCCGCUCCGCGUGCACGCUGCCGCAGGAACGGGUUGAGGGCCGAGUGGGAUCGAGGCUUUCGGGGCGCGGGACUGAGGGGCACUGACCGAUUAAAGAACUGGCUCAGUGCAUUUCUGUGGCUGUCAGAUCGCAUGCCACUCCGGGGCAGCCGGUCCUUGAGGAACCUUAUUAAGGCCGGGGCAUGCCUGGUUCAGGCUUCCCAUCAAUUAUGGAGGGUCGAAAGGGUGUCGUCCACCCUGAGUAGGAACGAAGACCUCCCCUUGCCCUUUACUUCCCAGCUCAUUGCAAUUCAAAGCGAAGCCCUCCUGGGCUACCAGCGGGCCUGUCCUGCUAUCCUAUUGCUUCAGUAGAGCUCAAGGCUUACUUGCCCUAGUCUCUAACUCCAGCAGCUAUGACUCAAAAUCAGAGCAGAGACUUGAAGAACGUUGAAUAAUGAGCCUCUUCUGCAGUCAUGUGGCUGAGCUGACUACAGCAACAUGGAGAGUGCCAAGCAGAGGGGGCCAGGUAGACAAGCGUGUAAACUGAAGUGUAACCUCCACCAGCUUUGUCGUAAAUUCUUUGUAGAAUGACUUACUACUCUCCUCAGUUACUCCCUGCCUGCCCAUUCCUGCAUCUUGGUUUCUUCAUCUUCCCCCAUGAUCUAGGAUAAUAUGAUCUCUUCUCCUUCCCCCUGAUUAUUUAAAUCUUCCUCUCACCUCCCUACAUUUUUCACUUGUUAUUUACUUUUUUUUUUUUUUUUUUUUAGAUAGGGUGUCAUUUGACCUAAGCUGGCCUUAACCAUGCUAUGUAGUGAGGAUAAUCUUGAAUGCCUUACUGGUGUGAGCCAUCACUUCUAGUUUAUGUGGUACUGGGGAUAGAAUCCAGGACUUUGUACGUGAUGAGAGCAUUGUGGAUGAGAAUGGUUCAUGUGCUUGAAUACUUUGUCCCCAUUGUUGGAACUGUUUGGGAAGGAUUAGGAAAUGUGCCCUUAUUAGAGAAAGGGUUUCACUAGGAUCAGGCGCUGAGGUUUCAAAAGACACCAUUUAGAGUUAGCUUUCUAGACCUCUUACUUGUGCAUCAAGAGGUGAGCGCUCAGGUGUUGAGGCCAGCAUGCCUUUGUUCCACCAUCAUGGACUUCAAACCUAGGAAACCAUAAGCACAGUGAAACACUUUUGUUUUGUCGGUUGUCUUGGUCAUGGUGCUUUAUCCCAGAAAGAGAGGCAACUACAACACCAACAAGCAAGUGUUCUACCAAGUGAGCUAAACUGCUAGCCCUGAAAGCCUACUGUCUUUGUAAAACCUGCUCCACCCACUCCAGCCUAGAUGACUCUUCUGCCUAGGGAUUCUUGCAAAGUGAUUUGCCGGCUUUUUGAGAUGAGAUCUUCGGUAGCCCAAACUAUCCUCACUAUGGAGAUCAAGAGUCCAAAGGCGAAAAUGCUGAAAUGAAGAUUAGAAUGCAGGAAAGUUAUAUGGAAGUGGCUUUUGGAUCAGUAUCUAUGGAUUAGUGCAAGCAGCAGGAUCAGACUGCAGUCCAACAGUGCCUCAGUGGGGACAAACGCCUCUGCCAGCUCCAAGGGAACUUUAGAGGGCAGAGAUCUAUUUAUGGUCCUAAGAGACUACUGAGGCCAAUGAGUUUGAGAAGAAUGUUAAUAUCAAGACAACAGAAGAUACUAAUGAAGCAAGAGAAUCCUGUUGGAGACAACAAAGAACACUUCUGCAAGGAAGGGCCGGUUAUGGCAACUGCAAUCAGCUCUAAGGGUCUACCAUCAAAUGGUUACCCAUUUGGUGAUGAUAAUCAAGUUCUACAGCGAAUCACUUGGACACCAAUAAAAAGUCAAAGG
rnacentral:lncRNA from 1 species